rnacentral:rRNA from 1 species
ACGCACGCUGGCGGCAUGCCUCACCCAUGCAAGUCGAACGAGACCUUCGGGUCUAGUGGCGCACGGGUGCGUAACGCGUGGGAACCUGCCCUUAGGUUCGGAAUAACUCCCCGAAAGGGGUGCUAAUACCGGAUAAUGUCUUCGGACCAAAGAUUUAUCGCCUUUGGAUGGGCCCGCGUUGGAUUAGCUAGUUGUUAGGGUAAAAGCCUACCAAGGCGACGAUCCAUAGCUGGUCUGAGAGGAUGAUCAGCCACACUGGGACUGAGACACGGCCCAGACUCCUACGGGAGGCAGCAGUGGGGAAUAUUGGACAAUGGGCGAAAGCCUGAUCCAGCAAUGCCGCGUGAGUGAUGAAGGCCUUAGGGUUGUAAAGCUCUUUUACCCGGGAUGAUAAUGACAGUACCGGGAGAAUAAGCUCCGGCUAACUCCGUG